rnacentral:rRNA from 1 species
UACGGGGGGAGCAAGCGUUGUUCGGAUUUACUGGGCGUAAAGGGCGCGUAGGCGGUCAGCACAAGUCAGUUGUGAAAUCUCCGGGCUUACUCGGAAAGGUCAACUGAUACUGUGCGACUAGAGUGCAGAAGGGGCAACUGGGAAUUCUCGGUGUAGCGGUGAAAUGCGUAGAUAUCGUGAGGAAGAACCAGUGGCGAAGGCGGGUCUCGUGGACAGUUCCUGACGCUGAGGCACGAAGGUCAGGGGAGCAAACGGG